rnacentral:misc_RNA from 1 species
UACGAAGGGUGCAAGCGUUGUUCGGAUUUAUUGGGCGUAAAGCGCACGCAGGCGGAUUGGUAAGUCAGAUGUGAAAUCUCGGGGCUCAACCCCGAAACUGCGUCUGAAACUACUAAUCUAGAAUCUUGGAGAGGGAAGGGGAAUUUCUCAUGUAGGGGUAAAAUCCGUAGAGAUGAGAAGGAACACCAGAGGCGAAGGCGCCUUCCUGGACAAGUAUUGACGCUGAGGUGCGAAAGCGUGGGGAGCAAACAGG